rnacentral:rRNA from 1 species
CUGCCCAAUGAGGAAUUAAAUGGCCGCGGUAUUUUGACCGUGCAAAGGUAGCAUAAUCAUUAGUUUUUUAAUUGAAAGCUGGAAUGAAAGGUUGGAUGAGAAAAUAACUGUCUCUAUCUAAAUUAUUUAGAAUUUUAUUUUUAAGUCAAAAAGCUUAAAUUUAAAUAGAAGACGAGAAGACCCUAUAGAGUUUUAUUUAUUUUACAGAAAAAAUUUUUAGGAUUAAUUUUUUUUUAUAUAAAAUAAAUUUGGUUGGGGUGAUUGAAAAAUUUAAAUAACUUUUUUUUUAUUUUUACAUUGAUUUAUGGUUAUUUGAUCCUUUAUUUAAGAUUAUAAGAUAAAAUUACCUUAGGGAUAACAGCGUAAUUUUUUUAGAGAGUUCAAAUCGAAAAAAAAGAUUGCGACCUCGAUGUUGGAUUAAAAUAAAAUUUUGGUGUAGAAGCUAAAAAAUUUAGGUCUGUUCGACCUUUAAAAUUUUACAUGAUCUGAGUUUAGACCGGCGU